rnacentral:rRNA from 1 species
UGUGUAGGCGGAUAAUUAAGUCAGAUGUGAAAGCCCAAGGCUCAACCUUGGAGGUGCAUUUGAUACUGGUUAUCUAGAGUGCGGGAGAGGAGAGUGGAAUUCCUAGUGUAGCGGUGAAAUGCGUAGAGAUUAGGAAGAACACCAGUGGCGAAGGCGACUCUCUGGACCGUAACUGACGCUGAGACACGAAAGCGUGGGAGCAAACA